rnacentral:rRNA from 1 species
GAUGAACGCUGGCGGCGUGCCUAAUACAUGCAAGUCGAGCGAACAGACGAGGAGCUUGCUCCUCUGACGUUAGCGGCGGACGGGUGAGUAACACGUGGAUAACCUACCUAUAAGACUGGGAUAACUUCGGGAAACCGGAGCUAAUACCGGAUAAUAUAUUGAACCGCAUGGUUCAAUAGUGAAAGACGGUUUUGCUGUCACUUAUAGAUGGAUCCGCGCCGCAUUAGCUAGUUGGUAAGGUAACGGCUUACCAAGGCAACGAUGCGUAGCCGACCUGAGAGGGUAAUCGGCCACACUGGAACUGAGACACGGUCCAGACUCCUACGGGAGGCAGCAGUAGGGAAUCUUCCGCAAGGGGCGAAAGCCUGACGGAGCAACGCCGCGUGAGUGAUGAAGGUCUUCGGAUCGUAAAACUCUGUUAUUAGGGAAGAACAAAUGUGUAAGUAACUAUGCACGUCUUGACGGUACCUAAUCAGAAAGCCACGGCUAACUACGUG